rnacentral:sRNA from 1 species
GCUGCCAUGCUUCCUGCCUUGAGGAUGAUGGACCGAACCUCCAGAAGUAAAACUAAGAUGAGAUGAGCCUUGUGACCCUUUCUCAGUCCACAUCUCCGUGACCACAACCUCUCUCAUAAUGAAGAAUAACCAAGAUAACAGGGCUCAGAGAUCAUCAUGGAAGAGGGAGCAGAAAGAUUGCAGGACCCAAAAGCAAUGAAUGGCUGCAGGGAACUAUAUUUUCUGGACGUGGCAGGGCCGCUGGACAAAGGAACAAACAGCAGCUGUGACAAGGUCUGCGCAAGAUCCAGCCAGCCUAGAUCCCAGCUCUCGAAAUCCUACACCUGUCUGAGGAGCCAUUGGCAAAUGGCAGCUUCCCAGGGAGUCAGUGUUCUUUGGGAAUGUGGCCCCUGAGGGACCAUCCUUGCUCAGCAAAUGAUCCUGGACCCGCGCACAUACAGACUAGGUGGACUCGGACCCGGGAGGAAAAGGAGACGCAGGAAAGGAAAGAGAGACUUUUUGCUGCCUUGCUUUGGAGGAAGAAGAAUGCAGCAAUCAUAACUGCAAAACCACUCCCUACUUGGGACCUCACAGCUGCCACACUUGGCUGAGUGGGACCCAGGCCACAAAAAUGUGCUGGAGCGAAUCCUUGGAGCCCAGUUAGCGCAUACUGACUCUGUGGUCAGCUACCGUGCCGAGGCUAAUAUGCAGCACUCCAGUCACUUGUCUCUGUGCAUAAUGUCAACGUACAGCCCUUCCUGCAGGGAUGACUUGGAGAGCCAACUCGUGAUAACUAGAUAAGUGUAAUUCUCACCUCUCAGCAAAGAAGCUCCUCUUCAAAGCACAUGGCAACCAUCACAGAAAACCACAACUGGUCCAAAUCCAGAGAACAACUAAUCACAGCAUGCUCAGCCCCAGUGAAUCGUGGGAUUAGGAAACAAAGAAUAAAAAUGUCUGGGGAAGAAUAUAGAGGCGUGUUUCUGGUACAUGGGCCCGAAUGGAAGUUCUGUGGACGUUCUGCUACUUCCAAGAAUGGUGUGUUCCCAGCAUCCACUUCAGAUGACCAAGGAAGUGCAUCCUUGCAGCUUCAGGUCAGAGUCUGUGGUUUGUCUGUGCUGGGCUUGUCACUGCUGCUGAAAAAUCUGUCUUCUUUCUCCUUAAGUGAGGACUUUUAUAGUGAUUUUCCAGCCCGAUUGUGUAGUGUUAACUUACAUUCUUCUUCAUGUGUCUCAUUGGAGGGGAGUAAAGGGGUAUCUGCCUUGGACCUCUUGGGUUACUAUAACAACAUACCAUAGACCAGGUGAUUAUAUAAAACAGAAAUUUCUGUUCACUGCAGCAUAGGCUGGGAAGUUGAAGACUAUGGUGCCAGCAUAUAUGGUGUGUGGUCAGGUUCACAGAGGGCAUCUUCCUAUAUCUUCACAUGACAAGAGGUAGAAAAUGCUCUCUUCUAAGCAUCAAUCCCAUUCAGAAGGAUAUCACUCCAUAGUCCAAUCACCAACCUAGAGCUCAAGCUCCACCUAACAUCAUCAGACUAAGGGCUGGGUUUCAACAUAGGAAUUCUGAGAGGGACACAUAGAGUCUACAGUACUGCUCUCACUCUGUUUACAAUAAGAAACUACACCGAGAUGAACUAUAGCCAUGCUGUAAUUUGGGCCAGAUCAUACUGAAAUAUCUGGUCAGUUCAAUUAUAGGGGGACCAAAAUUAUCACUUUGAAUCAUCAUCAUGAGCAUGAUACACCCCCCAUCCUCAUUCUCUGAAAUCAGCAAUGGUCCAGGUCAGCCCUCCACAGCAGUAGCAGGGAGUCCAUGUGACUGGCUUGAUUUUGCACAAAAGUCAUGGCAUUUAUUUGCUGUCAGAAAUUGUGGUAUCAGGGUCCAGGGUGCAGGUUGUAUCCAGAACCCCUAGGCCAAUGGCCAGUUCACACACAAUUCAUUUUCUAAAUUAGUCAAUGUGGUGGAAAAAGUGGACUCAAAUUGAAUUUUACUCCUGACUCCUGCUCAUGCCUGAGAGAAAUCACUGCUCUCUUCAAAUGAAUGUUUCAAAUACACAAGCUAGAAUGAGUCUCGUCUGCAGGCAAAUGGGAAGAGGGAGAGGUGUGCCAUAUUUCCAUUCUUUUUUGCACAUAAAACGACAUUGCCCCUGUCUUGUGUCACUGUGGCAGCCCUAUAAAGAGAUUCAAGUAAAUAGUAUGUCUUAAGGCUGAUUUUGUUCCCAUAAUUACUGUUGGACAAGAGACAGGUUCUUUUAGUAACUCCAGUAAGUUCAGUAACUUGUCCAAAUAAUAAUUAAAGUCGACAUCAAGUCCUCAAUUAGAAACAGAGCCUAAUAUAAAAAGGCAGAUUUCCUCAGAGAGGUUUAACGGGGGUAAAAUUCUCUGGGUGUAGGACAUUCAGUGGCGGUGAAAUGCUACCCUGAGACAUGUGCAAGGCAGACCACCUGGACAGGACAGCAUGUCCUUUGUGGAGGUUGGGUCAUGCACCAUCACCAAGUCAAGCAAUGUUACAUUUCCACACAGAGUCCUUGGUACUUGAAGCUCUAGAAGGGUCCCGAAAGAACAACAGUCAUUCUUUCAUCUUAUUUCCAAGUUUUGGAUACUUUUAAAAGAUUUUAAUUCUAAGAUAAGCAUAAUUAGUACAAGAUAAAAUGUUUAGUUAUGUUAUAAACUAUACUAAAUGACAAUUAACCAGGCUCUAAUCUCAGACCCUAAAGAGCCAGGGUCUUGUUGAGGUUGUGAAAUCAAGACUGGUGGUUCCCCUAACCAGAACCCCAGAUUCAGGCCAGAGCCAGCUCAAGGGUAUGGUGCCCGAUACAAGCUGUCCUUGCAGGAAGCCCCUAAUUCAACUCAAACUUCCAGGCUCAGCCUUAGUAAGCACCACAUAAGACCUGUGGAAAUGACAACAAUCAUUUUAAUGGGAAGCCUUCCUUUUCUCUUACCACACCCCUCUUUCCUCUCUUUUUCUCACUUCUUAUUCCCUUAACUUCCCUUUACUGACUCAACUUUCCACAGUUCGAACUCUGUAUGCACUUAAGGCCUACAAUCAUGCAUGUGUUAAUCCUUGGGCAGCGAAGAAUUCAAAACAAACAAACAAACCAGUAUAUUCAGAAUACCCAAGAAGAAAGACAAAUGUACACUUACUAGUCUAGCAGACCCAACCAAAGUCAAUAUGAGUACAGCCCAGAUUGCCUUGUAUACAUUUCAGAGAGGUCAGCAUGAGCUGUUACAGGCGUAAUUAACAGAUGUGUGGUCUCUGCUAUGCUAACAGAGGCCAUGCAAAUCAAUGACACCCAACCCUAGUUGAUCAAGGUUCUAUCCCACUCAAAGGUUUGGGUCCCAGGGCACUGGGCUGUGUCUGUGUGUGCCGUAUCCCAAUGCUCCAAGUAGAAUGACAGCUAUGCUCACCACCACACUUCCUAUGCUUUAUCAGGGCUCCAGAUUGGAAUUCCCAGGCCAUGCUUAUGAAGAUUCCUAAUGGAAACAGUGGCGUUUUCUAUCACUUCCCUCCACAAGGAUCUUGAAGGCUGUCCUUCUCAUGAUACUGAAGAAGAUUUAGGAGAAUGGGUCAGGGGGCUGUACUAUGACAAUGUCCAACCUGAGCUUAACCAUGCUUCACUGCUGUUGACACUCAAGAUGUUUGUAAUUCCUUGAGCUUGUCAAUGCUCUCUGCUACUUGAUGUGUUAUGGAGUGUUCUCCUUGCCUCAUCCUGCCUGUUUGCAUAGCUCCCCCUCAUCUGUCAGGUCUCAGUCAGAUGGCACCCUGUAGAAAAGGCUUUUGACAGCAUGCAGAUACUCUGGUCUUAUCAUGCAUCUUCACAGCAUGGUGUUCCUCUUUCACAGCCAGUUCAGCUUGUGAAUGCAACCUUACCCAUGAUGCUUCACAGUAUCCCCAUCCCUUAUUAAAUCAGUUUGGCCACGGGAAUGAUAUUCCCAACACUCUUAGGUCCAGUACCUAAUACUGUUCCUUUCCAUGCUAUCCCACUGUUUCAAAGCACAGUUCCUCGUUAACUAUCGAAUGCUGGGAAUGAUCUUCUGACAAGUCACUGUGGACAGCCCAAGACACAUGGUUCAGAGGAAAAUGCAUUUGCUCUGGGCAGUCAGUCACAAUCUUCAUUCAGGUAUCAGCAGUGGCCAGGAGGGCUACAAGAGCCCUAGCAAGGCCAGCAAGGACUUGGAAGCAGCUUUGACUACGCCCCUCCUGGAACACUCAGUACUCAGUUCGCUCAUGCUGUCGCUGUCUUUCAACUGUUCUGAAGAACAAGCUAACUCCUCACUUAAUGCAUUAGGAACAUUGCUGUGAAAUAGCAGAAGAUUCUUCAUACUCAAGAUAUGCAUCAAGAACCUGCAGAAGUGCAGUGGUUCCUGGACCAACCCUAAUUGGAAUUAUCAACCCAGCUCUCCUGACCUGCACCUAUGUAGAGCACAUAGAAAUGGCAUCUCUAAAGGCAGUAAACUGUGAUAAGAUCCAAGGAACCACCCAGAAUACUGACAAAAGCCUACCAACCUUUAUGACCCGCCCUCUCAAGUAUUCCAAAAAGAAUGCAGAGCUAGAGUGGAUCAUGGCAACUAUGCAGUAAACAACUGGGAGAAUCAUUCCAUCAAGUGUGGGAACCAGAGUGGAAAGAUCGUCUUCAGCCUGCAGCCAACACCAGUCACCUCCUAUCAGAGAAAUGCAUCAUGUGAGUACCACAUUCCAGCUUCUUUGGAAGACCUCCAUUUCCUCCCCGCGCUGAGGGAAGCUCAGGCACCUUGACUCCCUCGGCAGAAAGGCAGUUCCUAAGUGGAGCUUGCUCAGUGCCCUCUGCCCUCAUAGCUGUGACUGCAGGCUGUACCUGUGGCAUCCUUGGCCAGCCCACUCACUCCAAGGCAGUGUGUGCCCCGCCCCCAAUCCAGCCAAGCCAUUUGCAGGAAGCAAUAACCUUCUUCCCUCUUCUAGUUGGACAGUAGUUCUCACAGGACAGGUCACAGCUGGCAUUCCAGAAGCCGAGGGAAGAGCCUUAGAAGAUAAGUAAACACGUAAGGCCUCGCUUCUCACCAGGAAGAAGUCAUUUCACCUCGGUGUGUUUUCUGCCCGGCGUCCGGGCAAUUGUUGACCACUCUGGUGCAUGUCCAAGGGCUGCUGGGAGCACUGCGAUAACCCAGAGAAUCAAGUGCUACAGUUGCUGUUAAUAAGGGGCGCGGGGACAUGCCAUAGCACUUCCUGUCCAUGCUGCAGGAGCUAUGAAGCAUCACCACUCACAGCCCAGGGGACGAUCUCAGGACUGAGAAAAUCUAGGAAUCACUGAGCAGCAAAAUAAAAAUGUCACCACACUGUAUAGAUGGCCUAUAAAAAGGAGCAGAGUGCGGAAGGAAGGGUGCAGGAGGCUGGCUUGACUGAUCGCUGGCAGAGGCUUUCCAUAGUCGCAGCCUGCUGUUACCGCCCACGGAUGUUCCUCCUGGGACAGCAUGGAGGCAUAAGACAUGUACAGAGCCCUCGUUAAUAAACAGACUCGACACUACAGCGCUGCUCUGUUAAGCCUUGUGCCUAUUUGCAUGGUGACUUACUAAAUAUGAAAAUAAAGCUGUUCCUUAAAGAACCCUGGACUUUUCCAUUCCCAUAUGUUUUUAUCUAAAUCCAAUGGAUUCUCAGGGCUGGCAGUGGGUGGCACUCACUCUUUAGCAGUUCUACUGAGAACUGAAAUGCAGGUUCCCGUCACAAAUCGGAGAAUAGAAUUCUGUA